GGAAAGUCUAGUUAAAUAGAAUAACAAAAGAAUGUCAUUCUUUAAUUACAUAAAGUGUCUUUCUA
rnacentral:tRNA from 2 species